rnacentral:rRNA from 1 species
UCUACGGGCGGCAGCAGUGGGGAAUAUUGGACAAUGGGCGAAAGCCUGAUCCAGCCAUGCCGCGUGUGUGAAGAAGGCUUUCGGGUUGUAAAGCACUUUCAGUGGGGAAGAAAGCCUUGGGGCUAAUACCCUCGAGGAAGGACAUCACCCACAGAAGAAGCACCGGCUAACUCCGUGCCAGCAGCCGCGGUAAUACGGAGGGUGCGAGCGUUAAUCGGAAUUACUGGGCGUAAAGCGCGCGUAGGCGGUCUGAUAAGCCGGUUGUGAAAGCCCCGGGCUCAACCUGGGAACGGCAUCCGGAACUGUCAGGCUAGAGUGCAGGAGAGGAAGGUAGAAUUCCCGGUGUAGCGGUGAAAUGCGUAGAGAUCGGGAGGAAUACCAGUGGCGAAGGCGGCCUUCUGGACUGACACUGACGCUGAGGUGCGAAAGCGUGGGUAGCAAACAGGAUUAGAUACCCUGGUAGUC